rnacentral:sRNA from 1 species
AAAACAGGAGUGAUUGUUUAGAAAUUACCCUCAUCCUACAUUUGCUCCCAAUCUGUUUGAUCUUUCCCUGAUGUUAUCAGUGAUGUGCAUUUCUCCCGGGGUGCUUACGCCUUGUAUUUUUGUCUUCCUCCAUGCCCAGUCCCGGCUGACGAGCCAGAGCGAGGCCAUGGCCCUGCAGUCGAUCCGGAACAUGCGCGGGAACUCCCACUGUGUGGACUGCGAGACCCAGAAUCCCAACUGGGCCAGUUUGAACUUGGGCGCCCUCAUGUGCAUCGAGUGCUCAGGGAUCCACCGGAAUCUUGGCACCCACCUUUCCCGAGUCCGAUCUCUGGACCUGGAUGACUGGCCAAUCGAGCUCAUCAAGGUGAUGUCAUCCAUCGGGAACGAGCUAGCCAACAGCGUCUGGGAAGAGAGCAGCCAGGGGCGGACAAAACCCUCGGUAGACUCCACAAGGGAAGAGAAGGAACGGUGGAUCCGUGCCAAGUACGAGCAGAAGCUCUUCCUGGCCCCGCUGCCCUGCACGGAGCUGUCCCUGGGCCAG